GGGAGUAUAGCUCAGUGGUAGAGCGUGGGCUUGGCAUGCACAAAGUCCUGGGUUCAAUCCCCAGUGCCUCUG
rnacentral:tRNA from 1 species